rnacentral:rRNA from 1 species
AGAGUUGAUCAUGGCUCAGAACGAACGCUGGCGGCGCGUUUAAGCAUGCAAGUCGAGCGGCAAGGGCCUUCGGGCCCCUAGAGCGGCGGACGGGUGAGUAACACGUGGACAAUCUGCCCCCCGGCCCGGGAUAGCCCAGGGAAACCUGGAUUAAUACCGGAUGAGACGGGACCCGCGAAGGCGGGACCCGGGGAAGGCGCUGCGGCGCCGCCGGGGGAUGAGUCUGCGUCCCAUUAGCUAGACGGCGGGGUAACGGCCCACCGUGGCGACGAUGGGUAGCCGGCCUGAGAGGGUGGACGGCCACAUUGGAACUGAGACACGGUCCAGACUCCUACGGGAGGCAGCAGCUAAGAAUCUUCCGCAAUGGGCGAAAGCCUGACGGAAGCGACGCCGCGUGAACGAAGAAGGCCGUGAGGUUGUAAAGUUCUUUUCGGGAGGGGGAACAACCGUGGCAGGGAAUGGCCGCGGGAUGACGUGAAUCCCGGAAUAAGCCCCGGCUAACUACGUGCCAGCCGCGGC